GUCCGUUCAUGCUCUGGGGCCGGUACCUGAGGGUGUGCUGUGGCAAAUUUCAGAAUGUGCUGCUGCUACUGUUCACGAUGCAGGUGCUCUUGAUUUGCCUGGAAGGAUCUGGAGGUGAAUUCUUCCCACCUGAGAACCAUGAGCAGUCGACAGAGCUGUUUGGGCUGACAGAAUACCAGUUCACAGGAAUCAAGCCUGAAUCCAUCACACACAAAUAAAGCAGGCACCAUCAGAGGAGGCCUCAAAUCUCACUGCUGC